rnacentral:lncRNA from 10 species
GCUCUUGCUAGUUUUCAUCUUUUCUCUGCAGGGAGGACCAGGAGAUGGUACCAGGUCUCAGUCCCCACUGCUUUUCCUACCGGACCAGUGAAUACUCUCACUGCUCUGCUCUUGGAGAGGUGGCCAACAACACACACAAGCAGCAUGUAGGUAUGUGGAAGGUUUUCUAGGGAUGCCACCCAUUUCCAGGUAGCCAUACCCAUCUUACACACACUCCUUCAGGGCACUGAGCCCCACCUCUUCAUACCAACAACCUAGCGGCUUGCUUGGGGCGCAGCCUCAUGUUGCCACUGAAGAGUGAUGCUGUGGCUACCACCACUACUGAAGGAUGAGGUGAAAAGACACGGGGGGUCAUACUCAUUCUGCUGUUCCAUUUUGUUGCUGAGCCAAAUUCCAUUGUAUUACCAAUCUUCAAUUUGUUAUCGAUUCAUUUACUAUAAACAUUUGGGUUGCUUUCCAUUUUGUUCUAUAAAUGAAACUGCCAUGAACAUUCACAUACAAGUCUUUGUAAAGACAUGUUUUCAUUUCCCUUGGAUAAAUGCCUUAGAGUAGAAUUACUGGGUUGAAUGGUAGGUUUAUGUUUGAUUUAAUAAGAAACUACCAAAUUUUUCAUGAUCAUGCCAUUUUACACUCCCACCAGCAAUGUAUGAGUGUUCCAGUUGCUCCGUGUCUUUUCCAGUACUUGGUAUUAUGGGACUUUUCAAGUUUUAGCCACUCUAGUGUAUCUGG